GCCUCCGUGGUGUAAUGGUCAGCACACUCGGCGUGUAUUCGAGAGGUCCGAGAUUCGAAUCCCUGCGAGGGUA
rnacentral:tRNA from 1 species